UACGGGGGGGCAAGCGUUGUUCGGAAUUACUGGGCGUAAAGGGCUCGUAGGUGGCCAACUAAGUCAGACGUGAAAUCCCUCGGCUUAACCGGGGAACUGCGUCUGAUACUGGAUGGCUUGAGUUUGGGAGAGGGACGCGGAAUUCCAGGUGUAGCGGUGAAAUGCGUAGAUAUCGUGGAGGAACACCGGUGGCGAAGGCGGCGCUCGUG
rnacentral:rRNA from 1 species